UGGGGAAUUUUCCGCAAUGGGUGAGAGCCUGACGGAGCAACGCCGCGUGAGGGAGGACGGCCUGUGGGUUGUAAACCUCUUUUCUCAGGGAAGAAGAUCUGACGGUACCUGAGGAAUCAGCAUCGGCUAACUCCGUGCCAGCAGCCGCGGUAAUACGGAGGAGGCAAGCGUUAUCCGGAAUUAUUGGGCGUAAAGCGUCCGCAGGUGGUUAUUCAAGUCCGCUGUCAAAGACCGGAGCUCAACUCCGGAGAGGCAGUAGAAACUGAAGAACUAGAGACCGGUAGGGGUAGAGGGAAUUCCCAGUGUAGCGGUGAAAUGCGUAGAGAUUGGGAAGAACACCAGUGGCGAAAGCGCUCUACUGGGCCGGAACUGACACUCACAGGACGAAAGCUAGGGGAGCGAAAGGGAUUAGAUACCCGUGUAGUCC
rnacentral:rRNA from 1 species